rfam:Bacteria symbiont BFo1 of Frankliniella occidentalis strain BFo1 contig139, whole genome shotgun sequence.
ACUUCCUGAGCCGGAACGAAAAGUGCAUUGAAAUUACGGGUUAACUCGCGGAAUUUUGAGGGGCUUUUGGCUUGUGGUCGUGAUGUUGUGUUUGCAAUUGACCUGACGAUUUUCGGGUCUGGUAGCUGAGCUACCUUUUAUUCCUGUAGAUUUACCCUGUCUGUCCAAGUGAUUUUAAUAGCACCGCUUAGCGCGGUGCUUUUUUUU